AGCUACAAUUUCUCCAGAACAUUUUCAACCACAUGUUGACUUAUAUCCUGACUUCCAAGAAGCAGCUGAGGCAUAUAAAGCAGCUGAAGUUUCAGCAGAACAUCUACAAGGAAAUAUUGAGGAAGAACCAGUAAUUGAUGAAGUAGCUGAGGCACAACAAGCAGAAGGUGAAGUUCCACAGUCGCCAAUUCACGGUGUGACUGUGACUGAAGUUGUUCCUGAAGGCAUUGAUAAAAAAGUUGUUCCUGAAG